UGCUAAACUGGUGCAGUAAGUUAGAGCGAGAAAAACUAUACUUGUCACACUCUAACUUAUUGCACCAGUUCAGUAGUGCAGAAACAAACCCAGUGAGAUGUUGCUAUUAACUUAACUUGAUGUGAAAAACAACAAGAAACUUCAAAUUGCAAAUUACUUCUUGAGUCACUUUAUUAUCAUUUUUACCGAAGUUGAGUUUGAGUUGUGAAACUUGAAAAUGAAAGAAUGACCAAUCGUUGAUCUAUGCCCUAUAUAUAUUCCUGAAAGACGUUAUUAAACUCAGAGGAACAAUAUCUAACUUUCCGAGGAAAACUGGAAAUCAGAGAAUAUGUCCUUUACCUUCUCCACCAGCAACAAAACUAGAAAAAGGAAUAUUUUCUGCACGUUCGUCUUGGAUCUGCGGUCCGAAAACUGACUUUUCCUCAGAUAAUUCGUCAUGGAUGAGUCCAACAUCAUCUGUAACUCCGUCCAAACUCCGAAUCGAGGAACGAUUGACCCUGCAUCAGAUGAAACUUCUUAAUGAAAUGGCUAGUUCUAGCGCGCCCUGUUUUGGACCCAAUAAUACGCCCAAUAAUGUGGUAGGAUCCGGAAUCGGUGUUGCAGGUGUGACAGAGUGUGUGGCGGUGGAAGUAUUGUAGUCAAUAUUGUGUGUGUAUGCAAGAUUGUAGGCGUAGUGAUUUAUAUAAAAGAACUUUAUUAUAA